rnacentral:rRNA from 1 species
CCCUUAGAUGUUCUGGGCUGCACGCGCGCUACACUGAUGCGCUCAACGAGUUUAUGACCUUGCCCGGAAGGGUUGGGUAAUCUUUUCAAAACGCAUCGUGAUGGGGAUAGAUUAUUGCAAUUAUUAAUCUUCAACGAGGAAUUCCUAGUAAGCGCGAGUCAUCAGCUCGUGCUGAUUACGUCCCUGCCCUUUGUACACACCGCCCGUCGCUCCUACCGAUCGAAGAGUUAGGUGAAUUGUUUUGAUCGAUAAGAUUUGACUAUGGUCAACUCUCGUUGUGAAAUUCUGUGAAUCUGACUGUUUAGAGGAAGGAAAAGUCGUAACA